rnacentral:rRNA from 1 species
AGAGUUUUGAUCCUGGCUCAGAUUGAACGCUGGCGGCAGGCCUAACACAUGCAAGUCGAGCGGAAACGAGUUAUCUGAACCUUCGGGGAACGAUAACGGCGUCGAGCGGCGGACGGGUGAGUAAUGCCUAGGAAAUUGCCUUGAUGUGGGGGAUAACCAUUGGAAACGAUGGCUAAUACCGCAUAAUGCCUACGGGCCAAAGAGGGGGACCUUCGGGCCUCUCGCGUCAAGAUAUGCCUAGGUGGGAUUAGCUAGUUGGUGAGGUAAUGGCUCACCAAGGCGACGAUCCCUAGCUGGUCUGAGAGGAUGAUCAGCCACACUGGAACUGAGACACGGUCCAGACUCCUACGGGAGGCAGCAGUGGGGAAUAUUGCACAAUGGGCGAAAGCCUGAUGCAGCCAUGCCGCGUGUAUGAAGAAGGCCUUCGGGUUGUAAAGUACUUUCAGUUGUGAGGAAGGGGGUGUCGUUAAUAGCGGCAUCUCUUGACGUUAGCAACAGAAGAAGCACCGGCUAACUCCGUGCCAGCAGCCGCGGGUAAU